CCAGGCGCCAUGUUGGAAGACCGGAGUCAGUCUGGUAGAAGUCCUCCAAUCGUCCACAUGGCUUGCUACCACCAGAAACGUUGAAGAUUACCCCAUUAUUUAGUUUUUCCCAAAAGGACCCAGCAAGUGUAUGCAGAGGGAGAACCUAUUCAAAGAGCUGUGAAACCCUGUCUGCAGAGGAAGAUGUCCCAAUGAACGCCCUGAGAGAAUAAGGUCUCUGUUUUUCUCAUCAUCCAGGUUCUGACACUUGCCUGUCCUGACUCUGAGCCCACCUGCCUGACCAUUCUGUCUGCCCUUGACCUUGAGCCUGCCUGCUGCCCUGAACUGUUUUGGACCUGGUUAUGAACUCUUGCCUGUCCCAGACCAACCUUUGCCUACCCCUUGGACAAUAAUAAAUAUCAGAGCUCAAAUCA